rnacentral:rRNA from 1 species
UACGUAGGUGGCAAGCGUUGUCCGGAUUUAUUGGGUUUAAAGGGUGCGUAGGCGGUCGUAUAAGUCAGUGCUGAAAUAUCCCGGCUUAACCGGGAGGGUGGCAUUGAUACUGCAUGACUUGAGUAAAGUUGAGGUUGGCGGAAUUGACGGUGUAGCGGUGAAAUGCUUAGAUAUUGGGAAGAACACCGGUGGCGAAGGCGGCGCUCUGGACCGAGACUGACGCUGAGGCGCGAAGGCGUGGGGGAGCAAACAGGG